rnacentral:rRNA from 1 species
UACGUAGGGGGCAAGCGUUGUUCGGAAUUACUGGGCGUAAAGGGCUCGUAGGCGGCCAACUAAGUCAGACGUGAAAUCCCUCGGCUUAACCGGGGAACUGCGUCUGAUACUGGAUGGCUUGAGUUCGGGAGAGGGAUGCGGAAUUCCAGGUGUAGCGGUGAAAUGCGUAGAUAUCUGGAGGAACACCGGUGGCGAAGGCGGCUAUCUGGCCCGUAAUUGACGCUGAGGCGCGAAAGCGUGGGGAGCAAACAGG